rnacentral:tRNA from 1 species
GGACAGGUGGCCGAGCGGUUGAAGGCGCACGCCUGGAAAGCGUGUAUUGGUUAAUAGCCAAUCGCGGGUUCGAAUCCCGCCCUGUCCG